rnacentral:rRNA from 1 species
GACGAACCGUGCGAACGUUGUUCGGAAUCACUGGGCUUAAAGGGCGCGUAGGCGGGCCGCAAAGUCAGGGGUGAAAGCCUCCAGCUCAACUGGAGAAGUGCCUCUGAUACUGGCGGCCUCGAGGGAGAUAGGGGCGUGCGGAACUUCCGGUGGAGCGGUGAAAUGCGUAGAUAUCGGAAGGAACACCGGUGGCGAAAGCGGCGCGCUGGAUCUCUUCUGACGCUGAGGCGCGAAAGCCAGGGGAGCGAACAGG